rnacentral:misc_RNA from 1 species
CACUUUUAAAUUUCACAAUUUUUGAAUUUCAAGUUUUCAUGUCACUAUUCAUUUCAUUAGUCAACUAAAAUGUUGACUUUUGCAUAGAAAAUAUGUACAUUGGUUUUAACACUCCCCAUGUACCAAAUUUUACAUUUAAAACUUGUUGGCAUUGAGCACCCAUACCAUUUCUAAACUAAAAAUCAAGAGGGCAGAAUUUUCAGUUUUUGAAGCUUAAUUUUACUGUUCCAUUAAGCACUGUUGUAGUGGGAAUUUGAGGAAAUGGCAAACAUGAAAGUUGUUCCUUAUUU